UACGAAGGGGGCUAGCGUUGCUCGGAAUCACUGGGCGUAAAGGGCGCGUAGGCGGGUCCGCAAGUCCGGGGUGAAAGCCCCCAGCUCAACUGGGGAAGUGCCUCGGAUACUGCGGACCUCGAGGGGGGUAGGGGCGGGCGGAACUUCCGGUGGAGCGGUGAAAUGCGUAGAUAUCGGAAGGAACGCCGGUGGCGAAAGCGGCCCGCUGGACCCUCUCUGACGCUGAGGCGCGAAAGCCAGGGGAGCAAACGGG
rnacentral:rRNA from 1 species